AUUGAACGCUGGCGGCAGGCCUAACACAUGCAAGUCGAAGGGAGUGGCGAACGGGUGAGUAACACGUGAGUAACCUGCCCUUUUCUUUGGGAUAAGCCUGGGAAACUGGGUCUAAUACUGGAUGGAUUGGGAUGGGCUCGCGGCUUAUUAGCUUGUUGGUGGGGUGAUGGCUUACGAGGGCUUUGACGGGUAGCCGGCCUGAGGGGGUGGUCGGUCACCCUGGGACUGGGAUACGGCCCAAACUCCUACGGGAGGCAGCGUGGGGGGAUAGUGCACAAUGGACGAAGUUCUGAGGCAGCGACGUCGUGUGUAUGAAGAAGGCCUUCGGGUUGUAAAGUACUUUCAGCGGGGAGGCGUUACCCGCAGAAGAAGCACCGGCUAACUCCGUGCCAGCAGCCGCGGUAAUAC
rnacentral:rRNA from 1 species